GAAUUUUGGACAAUGGGCGAAAGCCUGAUCCAGCAAUGCCGCGUGCAGGAUGAAGGCCUUCGGGUUGUCAACUGCUUUUGUACGGAACGAAAAGCUUUGGGCUAAUCCCCUGGAGUCAUGACGCUACCGUAAGACUAACCACAGGCUAACUACGUGCCAGCAACCGCGGUAAUACGUAGGGUGCAAGAGUUAAUCGAAAUUACUGGGCGUAAAGCUUGCGCAGGCGGUUUUGUAAGACAGAGGUGAAAUCCCCGGGCUCAACCUGGGAACUGCCUUUGUGACAGCAAGGCUAGAGUACGGCAGAGGGGGGUGGAACUCCGCGUGUAGCAGUGAAAUGCGUAGAUAUGCGGAGGAACACCGAUGGCGAAGGCAACCCCCUGGGCCUGUACUGACGCUCAUGCACGAAAGCGUGGGGAGCAAAC
rnacentral:rRNA from 1 species